rnacentral:rRNA from 1 species
AGAUUGAACGCUGGCGGCAUGCCUAACACAUGCAAGUCGAACGGGAGUAGCAAUACUCUAGUGGCGGACGGGUGAGGAAUACGUAGGAAUUUGCCCUUAAGUGGGGGAUAACCCGGGGAAACCCGGAUUAAUACCGCAUGACCUCGAAAGAGCAAAGGUGGGGGAUCGCAAGACCUCACGCUUUUGGAGAAGCCUACGUCGGAUUAGCUAGUUGGUGAGGUAAUGGCUCACCAAGGCGACGAUCCGUAACUGGUCUGAGAGGAUGAUCAGUCACACCGGAACUGAGACACGGUCCGGACUCC